rnacentral:lncRNA from 1 species
GUCCAAGAAGCCCCGCUUAGACCAGAUUCCUGCUGCCAACCUUGAUGCUGACGAUCCUCUCACAGAUGAGGAAGAUGAGGAUUUUGAAGAGGAAAGCGAUGACGAUGACACUGCAGCUCUUCUUGCAGAGCUAGAAAAGAUCAAGAAGGAGAGAGCUGAAGAGCAGGCCAGAAAGGUAGUGUUGCUAUUCACACCACACCAUCACGUUCUAAACCAUGUCUAAAUGUUCUAACACCUGGAGAUCUGUCUUCUUAAAGUGGCAUUCUCAGGCUCCUAAUUAUAUGGGACAUUUCUUUCAGAUAGUUCAGAUAGAACUAUGAUGCUCAACUUGUUUAAAAGCAAAUGAAUAAAUGAUUUCCUAAUUAAACGCCAGAAUUAAAGAUAGUCUACAGCAAUGGUUCUCAGCCUUCCUAAUGCUGCAACUCUUUAAUACAGUUCCUCAUGCUACGGUAACUCCCAACCAUAACAUUACAUGGUUGCUACUUCAUAACUAACUUCAUGCUUCACAUAUCUGUGUUUUCCAGUUGUCACAGGAAACUCCUGUGAAAGGGUUAUUUAAUCCCCAAAGAGUCGUGACCCACAGUUGAGAACUGCUGGUCCACGUGGUUUAUAAAGAUUCUCUUUUUGUCUCCUGCCUACUUUGAGACAUUUGUGUCUCAAA